rnacentral:misc_RNA from 1 species
GAUGAAUUUUGAUUCUUUUACUAGAUUCUUGGUUAGUCAUCAACAUUGGACAUUUUAUCCUGUUAUGUGUUUUGCUAGAAUCAAUUUGUUUGCUCAGUCAUUCAUAUUGUUGUUAUCCAACAAAAAUGUGCCCCAUCGAGUUCAGGAGCUUUUGGGGGUGGUUUCUUUCUGGAUUUGGUAUCCGUUGCUUGUUUCUUUCUUGCCAAACUGGGGCGAAAGAAUUAUAUUUGUUCUUGCUAGUUUCACAGUGACUGGAAUUCAGCAUGUUCAAUUCUGUUUAAACCAUUUCUCAUCUGAAAUUUAUGUUGCACCAC